AUUGAACGCUGGCGGCAUGCUUCACACAUGCAAGUCGAACGGUAACAGGGUGCUUGCACCGCUGACGAGUGGCGAACGGGUGAGUAAUGCGUCGGAACGUGCCGAGUAGUGGGGGAUAACGCAGCGAAAGUUGUGCUAAUACCGCAUACGUACUGAGGUAGAAAGUGGGGGACCUUCGGGCCUCGCGCUAUUCGAGCGGCCGACGUCUGAUUAGCUAGUAGGUGAGGUAAAGGCUCACCUAGGCGACGAUCGGUAGCGGGUCUGAGAGGAUGAUCCGCCACACUGGGACUGAGACACGGCCCAGACUCCUACGGGAGGCAGCAGUGGGGAAUUUUGGACAAUGGGCGAAAGCCUGAUCCAGCCAUGCCGCGUGUCUGAAGAAGGCCUUCGGGUUGUAAAGGACCUUUGUCGGGGAGGAAAUCCCCAGCGUUAAUACCGCUGGGGGAUGACAGUACCUGAAGAAUAAGCACCGGCUAACUACGUGCCAGCCGCCGCCGUAACAC
rnacentral:rRNA from 1 species